rnacentral:rRNA from 1 species
GACGAACGCUGGCGGCGUGCCUAAUACAUGCAAGUCGAGCGGACGGAUGGGAGCUUGCUCCCAGACCGUCAGCGGCGGACGGGUGAGUAACCCGUGGGCAACCUGCCUGUAAGACUGGGAUAACUCCGGGAAACCGGGGCUAAUACCGGAUAACUCUUUCCCUCACAUGAGGGAAAGCUGAAAGAUGGCAUCUCGCUAUCACUUACAGAUGGGCCCGCGGCGCAUUAGCUAGUUGGUGAGGUAACGGCUCACCAAGGCGACGAUGCGUAGCCGACCUGAGGGGGUGAUCGGCCACACUGGGACUGAGACACGGCCCAGACUCCUACGGGAGGCAGCAGUAGGGAAUCUUCCGCAAUGGACGAAAGUCUGACGGAGCAACGCCGCGUGAGUGAUGAAGGUUUUCGGAUCGUAAAACUCUGUUGUCAGGGAAGAACAAGUACCGGAGUAACUGCCGGUACCUUGACGGUACCUGACCAGAAAGCCACGGCUAACUACGUG